UGCCUUUAUGUGUUGCCCAUUCAUUGCUUUCUAGAGUGAAUGUGGUGUCAACAAAGGCACACAGCAAUUUCUUGGAUUGGCCUUAGCAAAGUUCCUCCCCGGGUGCUUUGUCCCAAGUUCUAUAUCAAGAACAGUA